CAGCCGCGUGCAGCACACGACCCUCUCUCACUAUCCUGGACAUACCAGCCUCCCAAAGGAUAAGCUACAAUGCCAUGACUGUUUUCUGUCGGUCAAUAGUCCACAGAUCUCUAGUCGGAGCGUUUGGAAGAAUGGCCAGCAAUCCUGGAAGUGAUGCAGCUUUGGAUACUCAGAAGUCAGUGCUUUCAGGGAGUCCUCGAACAAAGAAAUUCCCACUAACUGAACAGGAGGUAUUUUAUAUGAAUUGUAGAGCCGCCUACUUAACCAUCUUCAAAAGCAGCUUGGAAAACAUUAUGUCUAAAGAUCAACUCUACUUAGCUCUUCAGCAUGCAGGAAGAAAUCCAUCUCAAAAGACCAUUAAUAAGUAUUGGACUCCUCAAACUGCCAAACUAAAUUUUGAUGAUUUUUGUAUAAUUUUAAGCAAGGAAAAACCUACUUCGAAAGCAGACUUACUAAAAUCAUUUAAACAAUUAGAUGUAAAUGAUGAUGGCUCUAUCCUACACUCUGACCUUCAUAAAUAUCUAACCAAGAGAGGUGAGAAGAUGACUCAGGAAGAAGUAAAUGCUGUAAUAAGUUUGGCUGAUGUAAAUGCUAAUGGAAAGUUUGACUACGUUAAGUUUUGUAAAUUAUACAUGGCAACCAGUGAGCAGUGUCUCAAGACUACACUAGAAAGACUGGAGGCCGACAGUAAACUGAGGCGUCAACAGUUUGGAAGCCAAAUGGAAGGGUCCCCUGAAAGGGAUCCAUCACCAGUACCAAAACCAUCACCUAGGAUCAUAAGAAAAAAUGACCAAGAAACGUUCUCAAGCAAAGGUGACACAAGCCACACCUUACUGUCAACAACUAGAAAGUUCAAGACAUCUGUUUCCUUCACAAUGCCUAUGAGCGCUAACAGUAACCGAGACUCAACAUUAACUGAACCAAACUUAAAGGAUUGGCAGUGUGCACAAUCAAGAGGCUGCUUCUUUUUAGAGGAAGAUGGUGAAGUUGUCAGUCAUCAGUACAAAAUGCACAUAGCUCAGAGAUCUGUGCUUUACCUGACAAUUAAGCCAUUGAAUCUGAGUCAAGUUGAAGGAAAACAUUCUCCCUGGUUAUCGGUUGAUACAGCCUUAUAUAUUCUUAAGAAAAAUGAGAAUCCAGCAGAGGCACAGCUCAUGUGUUUUACCGAACUACGAAACAGAGAAGUAUACAUAUUUUUUUAAUGUUUAAGAAUGUAAUAUGAAGUCAAGUUGAGGAAAAUAAUAGCUGUUCACUAGUAUUUAAACUCAAAUUUUCUGUAUUCUAAUGAAGGUAGAGGCAGGUAUGUAUACUAUAGAAAAGCAUAUAUAAUAACAUAAUCAUGCUACUUUAUAUAUUUAACUAUAAGUGACUUUUUCUUAUAUUCUAAUGGGUUUUUUUGGGAGGGGAUAGAUUAAGGAUUGAUUGACUAAGUGCCCUAAUGCAUUUCAUGCAAAUAUUUUUUGUUGUACUCAAACAAAUCAAAAAGAUUUUCAUCAGAUCUUCCUAACCAUCAAUAUACAUGUUUCUAGCUACUGGAAACAUUGCUUUCUAUGUUUGCCUUACUUGCACUUCUAGCGCAAAACAGGACCACUUCAGAAUUACAUCCUCAGGCUUGACUCCUGUUACAGGGUUCAAAAAUAGUCUGAUGCAAGAAAUCAUCUUAAAUGUUUGUUUGUGUUGCCCUUGAGAUGUUCUGGUCUUUUCUAAUUAUAUAUCUACUCAGAGGCCAAAUGUGUAAGUAGAUACAUACAUAUGACUAUUUAUUUUAUAAGGACCACAAAAUGCAAUCUACUAUAUAACCACAAAAAUAAUACUAUCCAAAGACUUACUUCAAUAUCAUAUGUAAUCUUUAUAUUGGGCCAGCGACAGACAAACAUUUUCCUGAUGGAAUGUUAUAUCGAAGUCUUUAUUGGAAACUUCCUAACAGGUAAGGGUAGUUAUUGCCAGAGCCACAUAAAAUGGCAGAAGUUAACAUUUUUACUAAGCUCUUCUUCAGAGCUGACUAUAAAGUGAAGUUCAAGAUAAAGCAAUGUUGGAAACAAUAGCUUUUCCCAUUUGGUUUUGGAUAAAAUGACUCUCUUUUUAAGAUUGCAUGUGUAAAGACAAUCAGUCCUAGCAAGGCUAUGUUUCAACUGAGUUUCUGUGUACCUCUUUAUAGGCUUCUGGCAUCUGUAAUGUGUCACGUUACAAAGGGUUUUUACUAGCACUUUUAGCAUCACAGUUAUUUUCCUUAAGAAGAGUUCUGUACCCCAGAACUUUCCACUUGCCAUCAUAGUGGCAUUUUACCACUAGAAGUGGAGAGUAAAGGAAGUUUAUGGAAUAACAUAUAUUAGGAAGUAGCAGUAGCGUUGUGUGUGUGUGUGUGUGUGUGUGUGUGUGUGUGUGUAUGUGUGUGUGUGUGUGUGUGUGUGUAUGUGCAUGUUCCCACACUAUAUGUAUAUAGUAUAGUGUGUGUGUUUGUGUGUGUGUGUGUGUGUGUAUGUGCACGCUCCCACACUAUAUGUAUAUAGUAUAAUGUGUGUGUGUUUGUGUGUGUGUGUGUGUGUGUGUGUGUGUAUAGUUUAUUCAUUUGUUUGUUUGUUUUUAACACAGGGUUUCUCUGUGUAGCUCUGGCUGUCCUGGAACUUGCUUUGUAGACCAGGCUGGCCUCAAACUUGUAAUUCUGGCUUCUGGCUUCCAAGUGCUGGGAUUAAAGGUGUGAGCCACCAUGCCUGGUUAGAUAUCUUUUAGCUCUUAUAUGUCAGCCUAUAUAUGGCCAGACUAAAACAAUUAUCAUUUCCAAAGCAUGGGUUUGGGAGUUUAGUCUUCAUAGUGAUUCUCAGUUACAUUGAAUUAACUACUCUAUCAAAAUAGGGCUUGAUGCCAACCUCAGAGUGAUUAUGGUUCUAGGAUAAUCAGGCAGAAAGAAUGUAGAACUAAGAUGAGCAAGUGAAUGAUGAGGCAGGAGGAGCACUGAAUGUAGAACUGAGAUGAACAACUUGUCUGUGAACCUCCAGGAUGACCUAAGAUAUACUUAGGGUUUGGAAAUAAUAUUUGAGCACUAUUUGGUGGCUACUGUGUACUGUGGCACAAGUAACUGGACUUAGCUGUUAUCCAUAACAGUGGGAUAUGUAUAGUUAAGAUGGGAACAUGAUGGUCCCUGGUUUUUAUAAGAAAUGUUGAGGCUCCAGAAAGCUCCUAGGAGGUGUAUAGAGAGUAUUGAUUGCUUUUUCUAUAGAACAGGCGAGUAAAAUAAUUUCCUAUACAAAUGUCUUGAUACUCAUAAAUAUCCAGGAAACAGGUUUUUUUUUAAGAUUUAUUUAUUUAUAUGUAAGUACACUGUAGCUGUCUUCAGAUCUCAUUACAGAUGGUCGUGAGCCACCAUGUGGUUGCUGGGAAUUGAACUCAGAACCUCUGAAAGAGCAGUCAGUGCUCUUAACCACUGAGCCAUCUCUCCAGCCCAGGAAACAGUUUUAAAUAAGCAGGUGUUUGGAUGGACUGGUGAACUAGAACCAGGAAUUUAUUGGCUAAUUCCUUCCACAACUGGAUGUAGGCUAAGAAAAGAAACAAAACCA